rfam:Schistosoma haematobium scaffold1441_7, whole genome shotgun sequence.
AUCCAUCUGACGAGUCCCAUAUAGGAUGAAACGCACAUCCUAGAU